GAGGACAAAUAAAAGGCAGUUCGACCCCAAACAGUUCAUGGCAACACAAACUAUGAACUGUUUCCAUUCGAUGCUACGUGCUGUUAAGCCAGAAUUGUUUGUCAAUGAGGACAAAAUUGACAACGAAGUGAAAUGGGCUAAAGUCUAUGUGCAGAAUGAUACUGAUUCAUGUGGAGUUCAUGUUAUCUCUUGGCUACAAGAGUGGGAUGGCACCGUUCGGGAUGAUGCAGGAUAUACAAUGCCA